CCCCCGGUAGCGCAAUGGUCAGCGUGACGGAUUGUCAAUCCUCUGGGCCCGGGUUCGAUUCCCGGCUAGGUCGGG